rnacentral:rRNA from 1 species
GAUGAACGCUGGCGGCGUGCCUAAUACAUGCAAGUCGAGCGAAAAGACGCGGAGCUUGCUCCUCUGACGUUAGCGGCGGACGGGUGAGUAACACGUGGAUACCCUCCCUAUAAGACUGGGAUAACUUCGGGAAACCGGCGAUAAUACCGUAUAAUAUCUUGAACCGCAUGGUUCAAUAGUGAAUGACGGUUUUGCUGUCUCUUAUCGCUGGAUACCGGCUGCAUUAGAUAGUUGGUACGGUAACGGCUUACCAAGGCGAGUAUGCGUAGCCGACCUGAGGGGCGGGUCGGCGGCCUGGGAACGGAGACGCGGACCAGGCGCCUACGGGAGGCAGCAGAAGGGAAUGGUCCGCAGUGGGCGAAAGCAUGACGGAGCAAGGCGGCGUGAGAUGUGAAGGUCUUCGGAUCGUAAAACUGUGUUAUGAGGGAAGAACAAAUGUGUAAUGAACUAUGCACGUCGUGACGGUACCGAAUCAGAAAGCCACGGCUAACUACGUG